rnacentral:rRNA from 1 species
GUGGGAUACUUAUCACUUUCGCUUAGCCACUGAGAUUGCUCCCAACAGCUAGUAUCCAUCGUUUACGGCGUGGACUACCAGGGUAUCUAAUCCUGUUCGCUACCCACGCUUUCGUCCAUCAGCGUCAAUCCAUUAGUAGUAACCUGCCUUCGCAAUUGGUAUUCCAUGUAAUCUCUAAGCAUUUCACCGCUACACUACAUAUUCUAGUUACUUCCUAAUAAUUCAAGUUUAGCAGUAUCAAUGGCCGUUCCACCGUUGAGCGAUGGGCUUUCACCACUGACUUACUAAACCGCCUACGNACCCUUUAAACCCAAUGAUUCCGGAUAACGCUUGGAUCCUCCGUAUUACCGCGGCUGCUGGCACGGAGUUAGCCGAUCCUUAUUCUUACGAUACCGUCAAGCUCCAACACGUUGGAGUGUUUCUUCUCGUAUAAAAGCAGUUUACAAUCCAUAGGACCGUCAUCCUGCACGCGGCAUGGCUGGAUCAGGCUUGCGCCCAUUGUCCAAUAUUCCUCACUGCUGCCUCCCGUAGGAGUCUGGUCCGUGUCUCAGUACCAGUGUGGGGGAUCUCCCUCUCAGGACCCCUACCCAUCGUAGCCUUGGUAAGCCGUUACCUUACCAACUAGCUAAUGGGACGCAUGCUCAUCUUUUACCGUUGUGACUUUAAUAGUGAUCUCAUGCGAGACUGCUAUGCUAUGAGGUAUUAAUCCAAAUUUCUCUGGGCUAUCCCUCUGUAAAAGGUAGAUUGCAUACGCGUUACGCACCCGUGCGCCGGUCUCUAGUUCCGAAGAACUAUACCCCUCGACUUGCAUGUGUUAAGCCUGCCGCUAGC